GACGAGUGGUUCAAGUGUUAUCCGGAAUUAUUGGGCGUAAAGGGUCUGUAGGUGGUCUAGUUAGUCUUUGGUUAAAUCUUUCGGCUCAACCGAAAGCCCGCCAAGGAAACGGUUAGACUAGAAUAGGUGAGAGGUGUGUGGAACUCAUAGUGUAGGGGUGAAAUCCGUUGAUAUUAUGGGGAACACCAAAAGCGAAGGCAGCACACUGGCACCUUAUUGACACUGAAAGACGAAAGCGUGGGUAGCGAACGGG
rnacentral:rRNA from 1 species